CGAGGAGUUCUAGUGGCUAGGAUUAGGGUUUGGUGCGGUGGAGUUAUUUAUACCCAUCGACUUUCGAUCUGGGUCGUUCAGUGUUUUUGAUCUGGAACAUACGAUCGCGAUUAAAUAAGAAGUGAAUUUGGACCGUUCAUCGCGAUUUAAUCUGGGUCGUCCGUACGCGAUUCAAUCUGGGUCGUCUGUGCGUGAGAGAACAGAUCUCGAUCUUUCAAUUGCACGCACGCAGAUCACCCAUGUGGCUCCCACCGCGUGGCCUCCCGCGUCAGCACCUCUGCCACUUGGCGCGUCCUGGUUGAUCGAGGCAGUUGACCGAGCGUUUAACGUGGCACAAUUUUUCUAAAUUACGUUUUGACCUCCCGAUU
rnacentral:lncRNA from 1 species